rnacentral:lncRNA from 1 species
GGAAUCGGCAAUAUUCUUGAAAUGAUUGUUUGUGAACCUGUAAGUGGUUGAAAGAGGUUUUCUUUGACAAGUGGUUAAUCAAGGUUAUUAAGUUGAACUUGAUUGGAUCAUACUUACAAGUGGUAUUUUGGAGAACAAAUGAUGAGUUUAUCCCCUAACCUACAAGUGGUUUGAAAAUCAACAAAGCUAAUUUUCCGGAAAAACCAUUUGAUUAAAACAAACUUAAGUGUUUUGAAAUCACAAUGGGAAAAUAGUUUGUUGUGAGGGGGAGUUCUGAUUGUUUAUGCCGAGUGGAUGGCGAUUUGAUAUCAGUUGUCAAUUUGUUCGUACAGUUUGUUUUCAAAUUUUCCUUUAAAUGUGUUUGCAUUUUAGGGGGAGUAAAAAUUUCACAGAAAAUCCAAAAACAUUAGAAAAUUUGAAAAAGCCAAAAACAUGAUAAAUUCAAAAAUGAGUUUUGUUGUAUAAAAGAGGAAAUGAUAGUACAUCAGUGGACAAUCACAGCACCCUAAAGAAUUGGAAAGUUAAAAACGUGAUAAACAAUCUCACUGGGGAUGUGUCAGUAGGUUUUCGUACAUUUAGUAGAUUGUGACGAGAUAUAAACCUAAAUUUAAAAACUUGCUUAUCUCGUGGGGAACAAUUUCUUGGAUAUAUGGGUAACCCCCGAAAUCUUGUUUGAAAGGUCCCUCUUUCUGAAAUACUAGGUCUUUUGUCACACCCCAAUU